CUUAGGUUGGAGUCAUUAAAACUAGUUUACAGACACUUAGGUUGGAGUCAUUAAAACUAGUUUACAGACACUUAGGUUGGAGUCAUUAAAACUAGUUUACAGACACUUAGGUUGGAGUCAUUAAAACUAGUUUACAUACACUUAGGUUGGAGUCAUUAAAACUAGUUUACAUACACUUAGGUUGGAGUCAUUAAAACUAGUUUACAUACACUUAGGUUGGAGUCAUUAAAACUAGUUUACAGACACUUAGGUUGGAGUCAUUAAAACUAGUUUACAUACACUUAGGUUGGAGUCAUUAAAACUAGUUUACAUACACUUAGGUUGGAGUCAUUAAAACUAGUUUACAUACACUUAGGUUGGAGUCAUUAAAACUAGUUUACAGACACUUAGGUUGGAGUCAUUAAAACUAGUUUACAGACACUUAGGUUGGAGUCAUUAAAACUAGUUUACAGACACUUAGGUUGGAGUCAUUAAAACUAGUUUACAGACACUUAGGUUGGAGUCAUUAAAACUUGUUUUUCAACCACUCCACAAAUUUAUUGUUAACAAACUAUAGUUUUGGCAAGUCUGUUAGGACAUUACUUUGUGCAUGACACAAGUCGUUUUUCCAACAAUUGUUUACAGACAGAUUAUUUCACUUAUAAUUCA